rnacentral:tRNA from 1 species
UGUGGCUCAGCGGUAGGUAGAGCGCUCACCUAGCAUGUGUGAAGCCCUGGGUUCAAUCCUCAGCA